AUGCGGGCUCCGGUAACGUGGGUAAAGCUGUGUUCUGUGCGACUGAACAGACACGCGAAUGGACACACAGACACACGGACAGACACACGGAUGGACACACACAUGGACACAUGGACACACAGACAGACACACACACACAGACACACACACACACACACAGACACACGGACAAACACACGGGCACACAAACACACGGACACGGAUACAUGGACACACGGACACACAGACACGGAUACACAGACACACGGACACAGAUGCAUGGACACACGGACACAUAGACACGGAUACACGGACACACGGACACGUACACGGACACAGACACACGGAUCAUUGACACACACGGACACACGGACACGCAGACACGGACACACGGACACGUACACGGACAUACGGACACAGACACACGGGCACAUGGACACACGGACACACAGUCACACUGACACAUAGACACAGGGACACACAGACACACACGAACACACAGACACACAGACACAGAUACAUGGACACACAGACACACGGACACACACACGGACACACACACAGACACACGGACACACGGACACACAGACACGGACGCACGGACACACGGACACACGGACACAGACACGCACACACACGGACACACAGACACACAGACACACGGACACACACAAGGACACACGGACACACACGGUUCCCGGUGCCGGAGCGGCAGGAGCCGGUUCCAUCGCCGCCGCAGCAGCCGCUGGAUGGCAGCAGAUGAAAGCACGGACACACGGACACACGGACACACGGACACACGGACACACGGACACACGGACACCCCCCCCCCCCCCCCCCCCCCCCCCCCCCCCCCCCCCCCCCCCCCCCCCCCCCCCCCCCCCCCCCCCCC
rnacentral:lncRNA from 12 species